GCCACUAGCUGUAAAAAGGUUCGUAGUACAGACGACUUUAGUAUCAGCUUAAUACAUAGGUUAUUCUCUGACGACAGAGAACAGCGGCGGCCUAUGGACAUGGGGCCUCUUUGGGGCCGAAAGAGUGCCACCACCACGGUGCACUCGUUUGGGAAACACGCCCAAAAGCAAAGCUCACAUAAAGAUCUCUGAUGCACUCCAACAAAUCUAUAAAGUAUGCCAAAGCAGAGGAAAUUUUCAAGAAGACACUCCUUUAAUCACUGAUAAUACAACCAAAGCCUCUGUUCCGGGAAGCUCUAGCAGACGAUGACCCACUCUCCCGGAGAAAGCAGCCGUGCAAAGAGUGACGAUCCCCGAUCCCUCGGGAGCUCUCGCCGCCGCUUCAGCUCCGACUCCGCUAAUCGUCACAGGUCCCCGGGAUACAACGGUUCUUCCAAUGAUAAAAAGAAAUUGUAAAACAUGCCCAUGGCUCCUUAAAGACAACUUAAAAGGAUAAAAACAGGAGAAUUAAGAAUCACCACCUAAUGCCUUAAGUCAUGCACCCUUUAUGAAUGUCCAUGAACAAGCUGCUGCAGACAGAUUUUGGCAUGAUGGCACCAAGGCGACCUUUGCUAAGGAAGAAAAGAAAGCUGAAUGAGAAUGAGAUGACUGCAUAUACCACAGAGGAUGUGAGUCCUGAUGACUGCAGCCACUGAUGACUCCAUAGAAGAAGCAGAAAGAGGUUCCUGAACCUGAGAUCCUGAUUUCCUCAGACCACCAUGCUGCAGGCCUAGAAAAGAGGUACCUGAUCCACAGGACCGAGCUUCAGACACGCAGCUGGCCUGCUGCCACCAUUCUGUGCAGGACAGCACUGGGCUGUGUCCGGACACUCAGGACUCACACCGCCACUGAGGCCACUGCUGCUGUGAUCCUGACAACAGCUUGCUGCAGUCUGACAAGGGAAGGAAGAUGGUGGUGAUGACUGGUGAUUUCCAGCCUCCUGAUGGACUUGCUGUACCGACUUCCAGACCCAGUGAGUCCUGUUUACCUUGAAGCCAGGCCAGAAACACAUACUGAACAUUUGACCGUUUUACUCUUUGGGACACAGAACUCAUUCUGACAGUAUGGUAUUCAAUCUACUGUUGAAAUAUUGGACCUGAGAACUGAGACCUAAACUUUCCCCUCAGGGGAAAAAGGACUCAUUACAGGGAGUGACUAAUAGCACCUCUUCAAAUAUGAGGAGGGUAGCCUAAAGGCUUUUGCUGCUGCUCAGAGACUGGAACAAUUACUUAAAAGCAAGGUUGUGGUUAAACCCAUCAACAAAACCUCUUUUUGACUUUUGAUUAGAAUGGAUUUAAGAGAAUUGUGAUAUGACAAAUUGUGUGCUUAUUGUUAAUUUCCACUCUAGAAUUAUGGUAUUGACCUGGUAAUUUUUAAAUAUUUAUUUAUUUAUUUUGUAUACAAUAUUUUUUCUGCAUGUAUGCCUGAAGGCCAGAAGAGGGCACCAGACCUCAUUACAGAUGGUUGUGAGCCACCAUGUGGUUGCUGGGAAUUAAACUCAGGACCUUUGGAGGAGCAGGCAAUGCUCUUAAGUGCUGAGCCAUCUCUCCAGCCCAUUGACCUGGUAAUGUUUGUAACUAUACUAUAAGAUGUUAAACAAAGUUUGACAUUUCUUAUGAGUACUUGGAUUUAACAUAUUUAAUAAAAAAUUUAGGUUUUAAUACAGCAAAAAAAUUGUUAAGAAGUGCUCUAUACUAACUAAAGAGGACAUUCUCAACCCUGGUGACUCCCUCUCCUUUCAUUAGGAGACUGUAAACAUUAGGAGCAUAAUUAUUCACAGAAACACCAAUCUAAUUACAAAUAAACUCUUGACCAAAAACAAAAUUGGCUCAGAAACACAUAGCCCAAAAGUAUUUUUCUCCCUUAA